rnacentral:rRNA from 1 species
AUGCCGAGAAUGAAGGUCCCAAAGCCAGCUGAUGCAAUCAACGUGAAUCAAGCAAACAAGGGCCUGAUACUCUCCAUGUUCUAUUAUGGUUAUGUUCUGUCGCAAAUUCCUGGUGGAUGGGCAGCUCAGAGAUUGGGAGGGAGGCGUGUUCUGCUCCUGUCAUUUCUGUUGUGGUCUUUGAUAUGCGGUCUAAUUCCACUGGACCCCAACAGAGUAGUCAUUCUGGUCCUUUCUCGCCUUUUUGUUGGUGUGGCACAAGGUUUCAUAUUUCCUGCCAUUCACACAGUCCUGGCACAAUGGGUGCCACCGCAGGAGCGCUCUCGCUCAGUGUCGUUGACAACCUCAGGGAUGUACCUCGGGGCAGCUUGUGGCAUGCUGUUCUUCCCAAGUCUGGUGAAGCACAUGGGACCCCAAUCUGUAUGUUUAGUCGAAGCAGUACUUGGAGUAGCAUGGUCUGUAAUAUGGUUGAAGUUCUCCAGUGAGCCACCUCGCACUGACCUUCCAAAAGUGGCAGUGCCAAAAGUAGCAUCUCGGGAGAAGAUUAAGGCGCAGUCAACAGGGGUUGUUGCACCUCGCACUGUAAAGAUACCAUGGCGAAGAAUUAUCUUCAGUCUACCUGUUUGGGCAAUUGUCGUGAACAACUUCACCUUCCACUAUGCCUUGUAUGUUAUCAUGAACUGGCUGCCUACCUAUUUCGAACUAGCCCUUAAGCUCAGCCUCCAGGAUAUGGGAUCGUCAAAGAUGCUACCCUAUUUCAACAUGUUUAUAUUCUCCAAUUGGUGGAGUGUUACCAAGACAAGGAAACUCCUUAACACCAUUGGGUUUGUUGUCUCGGCUGUUGCACUUAUGGCUCUUCCUUCCUUCGGUACGCCCUCAGGGACUGUGAUCUGUUCAUCUGUAUCCCUUGGUUUUCUGGCUCUAGGAAGAGCAGGGUUUGCGGUGAAUCACAUGGAUGUUGCUCCAAAGUUCGCCGGCAUAGUGAUGGGGGUUUCAAAUACAGCUGGGACCUUGGCUGGGAUAGUUGGCGUUGGCCUCACAGGAAAUAUUCUGGAGGCUGCAAAGGCCUCUAACAUGGAUCUAACAAACUCUGAAACCUGGAGAACAGUCUUCUUUGUUCCAUCAUACCUCUGUAUUUUUAGUUCAGUCAUUUUCUUGAUCUUCUCAACUGGUGAGAAGAUUUUCGAAUAG